UCCCCUCUCACCCUCUUUCUCUCUCAAUUUUCUUCAUCAUCCUCCAUUGAUGAUCAUAUACAAAGCUUCAUAGAUUAUUUCUAUACCAUAAGCUUCCAUUAAAACGAGCUCUAAACAUCUAUACACUUCAAAUCAAGAGCAACUAUGGAAGGUUUUUAAAGCUUGAAGUCAAGAGGAGGAUUUUAUUUUUCUACUCAAGAAUCAUUGAGUAAGUGUUAGAUUUAUUUAAAUCUAAUCAUAUUUGAGUUAUAUAAGCAUGUAUAUGGAUGAAAAUAGCAUGAAAACCCACUUAUUUCUCUUUUCAUUUUUUCGAAAAUUAGGGUUCAUACCCUUCAAAACAAUUUCAUCAUCUAAUCUUAAAUUGAGAUUAUAUUCAUGCUAUUGAGAUCCUAUUUAGUCCAUUUCUACAUGUAAAGAAUGGAUUUAGAUUGAUAUGUGAAUUUUUGGAUGAGUUAGUUUAUAUGAUAUUGAGAAGUUUGGAGUUCAUGGAGUGAGUGAUGAUUUGAUUAUGAUUAUGAGUUUAUGAUAUUUGAUGGAUUAGAAUAAUGAUUAAAGGUGUUUGAUGAGGAUUGAAGUGAGUUAGUUUGAUAAAAAAAAAUAGGGUAUAGUUGGUUAUAUGCUUAAGUUGGCAAAUUGAUGAGUUAUUUUGGCAAACAUGGAAAAAGCUACUGACUUGAUGAAUUUCGACAGGGUUUUUGAUACCCAAAAAUCUUGAAAAUUUUAUGGUGAGUAUAUAAAAGUGUUAUGAACGUAAUUGUAGAAUUUCAAGUUAUUUGGACAUUGUUUACUAUCCUUUUAAAAUGCAAAACACCAACUGCAACUUUCUACCAAAAAUUUUAAAGAACAGACCUUAGAGUCACCCUUCUCAGUAGCAUCCCCUGAUGUUUUUCCUUCCCAAUUUUUAUGGUAAAGAGAUUAAUGUGUUAUCUAGCUGCCCACAAAAUUUGAAGUCAUUUCGGCAAUGUUUACUAGUAUUUUUCAAAAAUCAAAUCCUCCAGUUGCACAAAACUGCCGAAUAUGGUAGAUUGUGGGAGAACGGUCAUAUCUCUUAUACAACUUAGAGUUUUUCAACCUACUUUUUUUUAAGUGAAAUUAAACUCAAAGAGGUUUCUAAUAGUAUGAGUCUCGAACUCAGGAGAGUUCUGAGGAGAAAUAAUUUAUUCUCUUAAGUUAAGGUAGUGCAGAAAGAGUGAAUUGAAUAAGAUUUUGAUUAUGAGAUGAGAUAUGAAUUAAAGAUGCCUAUAUGUGGCUUAGUGAAGAUGAAUUGAGCUUAUAUAUGAAAAACGAAAUAAAAUGUAUAACUUGUUUAUGUGAAUUAAUUUUUGAAUAAUUGGUUUAAGAAUGAUUUAUAAAAUAAAUUUUUGGGAAUUUUCUCCGACUAAAAAUAUUUUACUUUUUUUUCAAAAAUGAGUUUGUGUAUGUGAUUGCUAUGUGCUUUUGGAUUGUUUAUCUAUGAGUUGUACCUUGACAGAGUUUAGACCUAAAUUAGGUGAUAAGUCGAGAAUAGAAUAGUGAUUACGUAGAAAGAGUUUUUAUAUGAGAUCGAGAUAGACGGAGUGUAGUGAUGAGGAGAUGAAAUAGUACUAAGAUAGGAAUGGUAUUCUUAGUUAGGAAGUUCUGACUAAUCUCUUUUAUUCUUUUCAUGAACUACUCCGAUGUGACGGUAUCUGAAGAUGUGAGCAGAGGACGGAAGUGAGUCCACCCCGAGUGCUACGAGAGUAAGCUAAAGCCAUCAGG
rnacentral:lncRNA from 1 species